AAUGAACGUUGGCGGCGUGGAUUAGGCAUGCAAGUCGAGCGCGAACCCCGCAAGGGGUGAAAGCGGCGAAAGGGAGAGUAACGCGUGGGUAUCUGCCCUCGGGACUGGGAUAGCUGCGGGAAACUGCAGGUAAUACCAGAUGACGUCCCCGGACCAACGGUGUGAUUCCGCCUGAGGAUGAGCCCUCGUCCUAUUAGCUAGUUGGUAGGGUAAUGGCCUACCAAGGCAAUGAUGGGUACUGGGUGUGAGAGCACGACCCAGCUCACUGGGACGGAAACACUGCCCAGACACCUAGUGGUGGCUGCAGUCGAGAAUCUUCGGCAAUGGGCGAAAGCCUGGCCGGGCGACGCCGAGUGUGGGAUGAAGGCCUUCGGGUUGUAAACCGCUGUCAGAGGGGAGGAAUGGGCGGAGGGUAAUCUCUUCGUUUUGGCCUAUCCUCAGAGGAAGUACGGGCUAAGUUCGUGCCAGCAGCCGCCGUAA
rnacentral:rRNA from 1 species